UGGAGUGGGAGUGGGAGUAGGGUG
rnacentral:miRNA from 1 species